UCCAAUGCCUCUUUUCUAUGCAGGGAUGAGGAGACAGAAACAUCUUGUCUGAUGAAAAGCACGUUUUGCAAGGCUUGACAAAUACAAGGUUCACCUCGAGCCAAUGUGGUCUGUGUGAUUUUAAUGCUGGCCCCUCAGCCCUCCAGCCUAAGGUGGAAUGCAAAAAGCAGGAUACUGGCAGCACACAAGGAGCUGUGGAAAGUCCAUACUCCUGCAGGGCAGUGAGAAGCAGAAUGGAAGCUGAGGAAAUGCAGCUGUUCUCACCCCAGCUGUAACCUCAGAAACAGGUCCCUUCCCCUGGCUGUGGGAUCAGCAUCUCCACCCCCACCACUCCCAGUCCUGUGCCAGUUAUGAGAGAGAUGUUACAGAAUCAAGAGCAAUCCACGUUCUCAGUCAUUGUUUCCUAAAUAGUGCCAUUAGAAUGGUAAAUUGCAACAGUAAAACAGUGUCAAUAGGAAGUUAUGAAGUUCCCAUUUUAUGAUGCAUUCAUAAAGUUAACUCAAUCUACUCAAGAUGUGGCUGUGAUUUCCUCACAGUGACCUGUUUGCUAUGACAGGAGAGAUUCUGAUGAGGAAAGAGUUGAGCUUUAAGUGUGCUGGGACUCUGCUUUUACCCAAGUAAAACACAGCAUAUUCCCUGUUGGAAUAUAUGUGCACAUCAGAAUUUAUUAAACUAGUGCUUGUUUGAUCACUUUUGGUUUCACUGAGUGCUGUGAAUUCUGAGGAUUUUGUGCCUUUGAAUACAAUGCGUUUAUUCCUGAGGUAAAAAAAAGAGAAAACUCCAAGCAGUGCUGUCAUUUAGAUGUUACUAUUGUCAUUCCACAGAAGGAUAAGAGAGAACCAAAUCAAUCAGAAGAAAUGGCUGCUUUUAGUUUUAUCUCCAGAUCUGGCAGCAAGUCAUAAUGUAGCAGUUGUACAACAAUUUCCAUUCUGAGUCCCUUUUUCAGUCAACUGUAACUGUCCUGAACUUUAACAUUAUGAGUUGUCUCUUUCAGGCUGAGUUGUUUGGGUGGAAUCAGUAUUACUGUCAAUCUGAGAAAGAGUCAUGAAACUGGCUUUCAAGUACUGU